rnacentral:rRNA from 1 species
AGUGAACGCUGGCGGUAGGCCUAACACAUGCAAGUCGAACGGCAGCACAGGAGAGCUUGCUCUCUGGGUGGCGAGUGGCGGACGGGUGAGGAAUACAUCGGAAUCUACUCUGUCGUGGGGGAUAACGUAGGGAAACUUACGCUAAUACCGCAUACGACCUACGGGUGAAAGCAGGGGAUCUUCGGACCUUGCGCGAUUGAAUGAGCCGAUGUCGGAUUAGCUAGUUGGCGGGGUAAAGGCCCACCAAGGCGACGAUCCGUAGCUGGUCUGAGAGGAUGAUCAGCCACACUGGAACUGAGAAACGGUCCAGACUCCUACGGGAGGCAGCAGUGGGGAAUAUUGGACAAUGGGCGCAAGCCUGAUCCAGCCAUACCGCGUGGGUGAAGAAGGCCUUCGGGUUGUAAAGCCCUUUUGUUGGGAAAGAAAUCCAGCUGGCUAAUACCCGGUUGGGAUGACGGUACCCAAAGAAUAAGCACCGGCUAACUUCGUGCCAGCAGCCGCCGCAG